rnacentral:rRNA from 1 species
GAUGAACGCUGGCGGCGUGCCUAAUACAUGCAAGUCGAGCGAACAGACGAGGAGCUUGCUCCUCUGACGUUAGCGGCGGACGGGUGAGUAACACGUGGAUAACCUACCUAUAAGACUGGGAUAACUUCGGGAAACCGGAGCUAAUACCGGAUAAUAUAUUGAACGGCAUGGUUCAAUAGUGAAAGACGGUUUUGCUGUCACUUAUAGAUGGAUCCGCGCCGCAUUAGCUAGUUGGUAAGGUAACGGCUUACCAAGGCAACGAUGCGUAGCCGACCUGAGAGGGUGAUCGGCCACACUGGAACUGAGACACGGUCCAGACUCCUACGGGAGGCAGCAGUAGGGAAUCUUCCGCAAUGGGCGCAAGCCUGACGGAGCAACGCCGCGUGAGUGAUGAAGGUCUUCGGAUCGUAAAACUCUGUUAUUAGGGAAGAACAAAUGUGUAAGAAAAUAUGCACGUCUUGACGGUACCUAAUCAGAAAGCCACGGCUAACUACGUG